rnacentral:lncRNA from 1 species
UUUUAUCCAAUCCUUGGUUUGAUCCCAUUUUAAAUUCUUUUUUUAUAGGGUAUUGUGGAGUUUGAUGAGACAUGUUUUCAGAAAUAUGGGAAAAUAUGGGGGCAUGUGUCAUAUCCAAAGUUCAUAUUUGUGUCCCAGCCAAUCCUCAUAAGGAGCAAUAGGAAGACUAUAUUUAUUGCUGAGUCGAGCUGCUUGCUGUUUUUGUAGUACCACUGCUAUUUUGCUCCCACACAAAGAUGCCACUUCAGACAAGGACAGAUCUAUAGGUUCCAAUAACUUGGAGUAGCCAUCUCCCAUAUCCACAGAAACUUUAAGAUACAAUCCAGAGAAGCAAGUAGCCCUGCCAAGGUGUGAUGGAAAUUUGGAGACUGCAAAAAAAUCCUGCAAUCUUUGGAUAUCAGUUGUUACAGGUUUGUUUGGAGCUCCAUAAAUGGCAAGUAUACACAAGAAUAUGUUGGAAAACUCCACAGUAUUUAGAUUAAGGCUGUUCUUUCUUAGAAGUUCUUGGAAUAUCAUUUGUUCCAGUUUUGUGAGUGGUAAAGAGUUGAACAUGUAGUAGGAAAAGCAGAUGCAAAGCCUAGUGCUUUUCCCUGUAAAAUCUGUCACUAAAACUACUGUCAAUUUACAUCAUCAGGCCAAAAUAUUCUUCCUCUGAACCUAUAAAUAUAGGCUUGGCUCAACAGCCACAACUCCUGCGAUAUGAUCUUAAAAUUGAAUCACAAAUAAGAUCCUUAAACAUGGAGCCACUAGUGUGGCCUAGUGGUAGGAGCACAGGCCUGGGAGUUAGAGGACCAGGGUUUUAAUCCUACCUCUUCCACUUGCUUGCUAUGUAACUGUGGUCAAGUCAUUUACAGUUUCUUCAUCUGUAAAAUUGGAGUAAAACCUGAGCGUCUGAUAUCCACCUCAGUGCUUAGUAGAGUGGUUGGCACAUAAAAAACAAAACAAUAAUAAUAAUGCAAUACUAGGCCUUAGAUCUGUCUAGUUUUUUCUGAUUUAUCUUAACUAGUUUUACUUCAGUGUAUUUAUUCAUUAUUUGCCUCUGUUUUCAUGCUCUUAUAACUACUGCAUUUUCAGCAGUAGAUAAGUCCUUGUUCUCACCAUUAACUUACAUAUUCCUGAGGGCAGGGACUGCAUUUUAUAUUCUUCUGCAUGUUUCUUUGCAGCUAUGCUCUUCAUAAAGUAGGCAUCCAAUAAAUACCUAUGCUGAUUAUAUCCGAUAUGUGCAUCAGUGGCUUCCAUACAUUAGGAAGGACUCUAGAGCCUGAAGAACAUUAACUUUUAGAGAAGCAGCGUGGCUCAGUGGAAGGAGCAUGGGCUUGGGAGUCAGAGGUCAUGGGUUCAAAUCCCAGUUCAGUCACUAGUCAGCUGUGUGACUUUGGACAAGUCAUUUCACUGUGCCACAGUUUCCUCAUCUGUAAAAUGGGGAUUAAGACUGUGAGCCCACGUGGGACAACCUGAACACCUUGUAUCCUCCCCAGCACUUAGAACAGUGCUUUGCACAUAGUAAGCGCUUAACAAAUGCCAUAAUUAUUAUAUUAUUAUUUUUAACUUUGAUCCUGGUUUCUUUCUCUUCUCAGUUACUUUGGGGUCUACAGUCUGGAUGUGAUCACUAGUACUUCAUUUGGUAUGGAUGUUGACUGGAACAAAAUGAAUGACACAUUUGUGAAGGAGAUCAAGAAGAUAUCAUCAGUUAAUUUAUUUUCUCC